rnacentral:rRNA from 1 species
UACGGGGGGAGCAAGCGUUGUUCGGAUUUACUGGGCGUAAAGGGCGCGUAGGCGGCGCAACAAGUCACUUGUGAAAUCUCCGGGCUUAACCCGGAGCGGCCAAGUGAUACUGUCGUGCUAGAGUGCGGAAGGGGCUACUGGAAUUCUCGGUGUAGCGGUGAAAUGCGUAGAUAUCGAGAGGAACACCUGCGGCGAAGGCGGGUUGCUGGGCUGACACUGACGCUGAGGCGCGAAAGCUAGGGGAGCGAACGGG